AUUGUGUUUCUUAGGAUUGGCCUCCUCUUGCUGAUUUUAUGUUUAUUUAACUGUUAACUUUUUUUUUUUUUUGAUCUUUAUUAAAUCCUGGUUUUCUUCACAUGUUUGAUUUCUUGUCAGUUGUCGGUAGGUUUUUCACUUAAUUUAUUCUUUAUGGUUUUUAAAAUCUGCUGAAAAAAAAUACUUAAUAAUAAUUAUAAACAAAAUCCCUAGACCCAAACUCUAACUCCCCAAACGGCCCCCAGGAAAAUGAAAGCUCAUGUGAAACAACAUGAUGCUGAAAUCAAUACUGGCUGCGUUCUAUUUGGUUGUAUAUUCUCAAGGAUACAACUCUCACCAACAAAAUCUUUGAUUGUGGAAAAGGCUAAACCGUCAUCCUCAAUCAUUAAGAAGAGAUCUCUUUCCUGUACAGGCCGCCGUGACACUUUUAUCAGACUUGCUCAUGAUAGAAGGGCUCAGGAAUCCAUCUUGAUAGUUUUAUCACACCUUCACAACUCGUUUGUGGAUCCUUACAUGCUGUCAGUAUUAGAAGACUACUCAUUGAAGAACGAAUGCUUCCUAUGUUAUUGAAGAAUUACAAAUGGUUUGGUUAUAUUUGUUUAUUUGGUUUUAGGAUCUUGUCAAGGACUCAUCGCGUUGUGCUCUUUUCCUUCGUCAAGGUUUUAUCCUUUUGGUUUUGGGUUUUCCUUGAUAAGGUUUUUAACGAGGCAACAUAUGCGUGUCCAACACCUUUCAGUGGUUUUCACAUUUACCUUCUAUUUUUCAUAUGUUAUUUUUCAUGUAUUUCCUUUAUUACCAAUGUAAUCAAGGCUGCUAACGCCAUAAGUUAGUUUUUUUUAAUAUAAUACCUAAUUCACAAAAGAAAAAGAAAAAA